AUCCCCGGGAUAACACCCGCCGCCCUCGGCGCGCCGAACACAGGGAUGGCGUAGGCGGCCGCCGGGCAGAGCCCACUGCGGGGUCACGGCCGCCGCGCUCUGCCUCGGUCCGGCCCUGGUGCGGGAGGCCUGCUUGCGUCACCUGCCCUUCCUUCAUCUGUUCGGCUCGACUCGGGCGCCCCACUGGAGGGUCAGCCUGCCUCAGGUGUUCCGUGUUGGUGUCCCAGUUUGGGAAACUUGCCUUUCGAAAAGGGACACCUGUCGUUGGAUUGAAAAUGCAGAGUGGGGGAGUCCCAGCGUGCGGUUAGCGGGAGCGGAGCCUGAGCGGCUCAGGGAGGGGACGUGCACGCAGGCCUGCUCAGUGGCGGUGGCCGGCGACGGAGGCUGGAUUUGCCCGAACAGGUCUUCGGGAGCAGAGAACGCAGGAGCAUCAAAUUGUCGGGCAAACCGUGGUCCAGAUGUGAAACGAGAUUGGCCUUUUCACCCAGAGAUAAAGGAGAGGCUCACAGGCACACAGCGGGCAUCGCGGGCACACAGUAGGUAUUUGGUAAAUGCCCGUGGAAGGAAGGAAAUUCUUAAAGUAUUGUCAUUUCCACCAGAAGGAGACCCAUCGCUUAAGGCACAAAGGCCCCCUCAAGCCUAGCUGUUUUACACUAUUACCGUGUGAUCCGAGCAUCUUUCCAAUUCAUGGAUUUAAAGAUUUGAAGCUCUGUUUCGGACUGAGGUUGGUAUUAUUAUCUGUGACCAACUGAUUAGAGGUUUCAGACACGUGAACGCAGGCUCCGAGCUUGUGGGCUUCUGUAGCGAUCUCUCGAGAUACAGCGGUUCAUUUUGCUCUGACGUCUGUUAGGCUUGGACCAUGAUGGGCACAGCUGCUCGGGUGGUUUUCUGGACAACACUGGAUGAUUGUUUGGUAUCAGGGAUAAAGAGUUCAAAAUACUAAGUUUGUCGCCAAAUUAAAUAUUUGGGGAAGAUCUGUGACCAAUGUGCGUUGACGUGGGAAUGGCAGAGUGGCUCUAAACAUGAUGCUCUCGGCAUUGGGGGUGGACCAUUCUCUGCGGGCUCCCUCUCUGAAGAUGGCUUAGGGCCGCAGAGUGAAUUACGAGGGACUCACAAGGUUUAUGGACGCCAUCCAUUUAGACUGCGACUUAUAUGUCAGGGUCUUUAGCGAACUUAAUGGGAGAAACCCUCUGACAGGACCCAGCCUCCCGUCCCCUGGUCCCCCACUGCAGCCGCACACAGCGAAGCUCUUUCCCGAAGAGGGUAUGUAUUUCCUGCAAGUGGCAGAAACCCAGUGUAAACUCACUUAAGCCAAAAAAGGGGUUCCCCGCUCUGAUCAUUUAACUGGGAAGUCCCAGGGUGAGCUUCAGGCAUGGCUGGAUCAGGAGGCCGACACGAAACUGUGAUGACUGCCUUUCUCCGCUUCCUUUUGUCCGUCGGCCCCAGUCUCUCCUGCUGCCUUCUCUACACUCACCGCGAGGGCUGACGACUGGCAGCCACAAGCCUGUGACCGUACCGCUGUCUUCGAGCAGUAUAAACUAAUCACGGGGCAAGGAGCGAGGGGCGUCACGAUGGGACAG